rnacentral:rRNA from 1 species
CUGGGCUAGAAUGCGGUGGAUAAGUCCUAGAGAUAGGACGAUCCGGGUAACCGGCUCCUGCCUGCAAGGUGCUGCAUGGCUGUCGUCAGCUCGUGUCGUGAGAUGUUGGGUUAAGUCCCGCAACGAGCGCAACCCUCGCCCUUAGUUGCCAUCAUUUAGUUGGGCACUCUAAGGGGACUGCCGGUGAUAAGCCGGAGGAAGGUGGGGAUGACGUCAAGUCCUCAUGGCCCUUACGGGCUGGGCUACACACGUGCUACAAUGGUGGUGACAGUGGGCAGCGAGACCGCGAGGUCGAGCUAAUCUCCAAAAGCCAUCUCAGUUCGGAUUGCACUCUGCAACUCGAGUGCAUGAAGUUGGAAUCGCUAGUAAUCGUGGAUCAGAAUGCCACGGUGAAUACGUUCCCGGGCCUUGUACACACCGCCCGUCACACCAUGGGAGUUGGUUUUACCCGAAGGUGCUGUGCUAACCGCAAGGAGGCAGGCAACCACGGUAGGGUCAGCGACUGGGGUG